AUGGCAAGAAAUGAUUUCGGAUUUGGUUCUUUGAUCAUAGAUAUCAAGCUUGAUGGUUCAAACUACAGGGAAUGGGCAUUUUCUGCCCGGACUGUCUUGAGGACGGCUGGUUUUGUUUCUCAUCUGACAGAUGAUCCACCUAGUCCAAAUGAUGAUGCAGCAAGGAAGUCUUGGCAAAAGAUCGAUGAUCGUGUGAUGGGAGUUUUAAUUCUGGGUGUUGAACCCUCACUCCGAAUGAGUCUUGAGCAUCACACUUCAGCUAAAGAGAUAUGGAAGCACUUUGAGCAGCGCUACCUUCAGCCCAGCAGUGCACUUCAUUUCUCCUGGUUGCAGAAUUUACACAACACUCGGCAGCCAGAAGACAUGUCCAUAGAAGAGUACUAUGGAGCUUUCACUCGCAUCACUGGGCAGCUAGGUUCCAUGGUUCCAAAGGGUAAUUCUGGUUGUGAGUCAUGUGCAGCGAAGGAAAAGUACGACCAUCAAACUCUCAUGUUUCAGUUUGUGAUGGGUCUCAAGCCAGACUUUGAGAACAUUCGCACUCAAUUGCUUGGUCGUACGACUCCUCCCACCUUGACAGAGGCACUUGCUAGCUUGAUCGCUGAGGAGACUCGUCUCCGUUUUCUUGGGACUACUUCUGCGCAGACUCUACACACUAGUGUUCUGGCUUUUCCUCAGCGGCCAGGUGCCUCCAAGGGCACACCUUCAGCUGUCAUCUGCUCGUUCUGCAAGAAGGCAGGACACCAUAGAGAUGGUUGUUUCAAGCUUCAUCCAGAGCUGUUAGCUGAGUUUCAGGCUAGACGGGCCCUCAAUCAGCAGCGUCGUGCACCCCAGGCUCCUUAUCAGCAGCAAGCGAGGGGUGCUUCUGCAUCUGUUCUCUCUCAGCCCGCCGUUGCUGCAACCCAGCCUUGGGUUCUGGACUCUGGAGCUUCUUUCCAUGUGACCUCUGAUCGCUCUCAGCUUGUGUCUUGCCAGCCAGUGCGGGAUGGUGCCUCUGUUCAGACUGCUGAUGGACCGUCAGAGCAAGAGGGUCAUUGGAACUGGCCAUCGCCGUAG
rnacentral:rRNA from 1 species